rnacentral:misc_RNA from 1 species
CUACGGAGUACACAGUACAUAACUUUAAGUCUUAUAGACUAUUUAAUAAAACAAUAAAAUCAAUUCAAUAUUUGAUUAUUGGUAUUUAUAUCCAGUUUUGAGAGGUUUAUUCUCUCUGAUAGAUCUUUGAAAACUGAAUAGAAAAGACAUUUGUAUAUAUUAAUAUUCAAACGUUUUGAUCAACCUAUAGAAUAUAUCAUAUCUAAAUUCUAAUAUUAAAUUAGACAAUAGG